AUUGCUUCUCGGCCUUUUGGCUAAGAUCAAGUGUAGUAUUUGUAUUUUGAGCCUUGAAGGUAGAUAGAACUAGAUUCUCC
rnacentral:snRNA from 1 species